AUGGUUGUUGCACCGAUGAAAGUGACAUUAUCAAAACUUAUCCACUCUGAGAGGUUCUCACAUAGGCUUUGGUGUUUCGAUCCUCAGUUUUCUAAACUCUACAUUGGUGCACUCUUGCAUGAUGUGCUCCUCGAAGCGUUUAAUGAAUCUCUCAUAGUCAUACCUAACCAACCAGUAACAACACCACCACCAAAAUGGGCACAGCUACCUGCGUCGAUAUCAUUGUUGCCAUCCUCCUUCCACCUCUCGGCGUCUUCCUCAAAUUUGGCUGCAAAGUUGAGUUCUGGCUCUGUUUGGUGCUCACUCUCUUAG